rnacentral:rRNA from 2 species
UGGACCUCAGAUCAGGCAAGAUCACCCGCUGAGUUUAAGCAUAUCACUAAGCGGAGGAAAAGAAACUAACGAGGAUUUCCUUAGUAACGGCGAGCGAAC